UACGGAGGGGGCUAGCGUUGUUCGGAAUUACUGGGCGUAAAGCGCACGUAGGCGGCUUUGAAAGUUAGAGGUGAAAGCCCGGGGCUCAACUCCGGAAUUGCCUUUAAGACUGCAUCGCUAGAAUUGUGGAGAGGUAAGUGGAAUUCCGAGUGUAGAGGUGAAAUUCGUAGAUAUUCGGAAGAACACCAGUGGCGAAGGCGACUUACUGGACACAUAUUGACGCUGAGGUGCGAAAGCGUGGGGAGCAAACAGG
rnacentral:rRNA from 1 species